CCCCCCGCGCGCGGCCAGUUGCUCAGGCUGGGCUUAUCACGCCGUCCGUGACUGACCGCCCGGCCGCUCAGUCCCCUGGCUGGGCGGGGGGCGCGGACAGGGCGCCCGGACAUCCCGCUGUUCCAGGGACCGGCCCGUUGUUUGAGGCCGCGUCUUCCCUCGGUGCCGAUUUCCUCCCGCCCCGGCUGGCUUCUUGCGCUCCGGUCAGGCCCGCCCAGAGCGGCCUAGUCGGCCCUGUUGCCUGUCAGCCUGACCCGGGGCAGACUGACCGCAACCCAGCCUAACUGAACAGGCCGACGCCCCCCCCCCCUCCCCGCCACGCUCCGGGGCGCAGCCGGUGAGCGGGUCGGCGCGCGGGCUCGGGGCUGCAGCGGCGCUGGGGAGGCCACAGUGCGCGCGUGAGGCCCGGGGUUGUCGCGCAGCGUGCGAGAAGCCCGGAGAGCAGAGAGAUGCUCCCAUGGGCCGGGAACCGCGCGUGUACUCUCCGAUGCUGCUCUUAGCUUUAAAAAAAAAACCACACGCCACCGCCCUAGCUUUAACCCAGGUUGCUCGAAUCUGCAACUUGUUAAUGUUCCAAGUGAACAGCCAAGAAGGGACCUCAGAUUAAUGGCAUUUACGCUGUUGGAAUAUCAGUAAGGAGAAGAGUGAAGCGAAAGGAGUUCUGAAUCCCAGAAUGGAAGUUCUUUCAGUUUAGAGAAUGAAAAUUUCACUUCUCCGUUGGACGCACACUGCAGGAGUAUUAAGAGCCAGAAAGUGAAACUGACUACAAUGUCUGGGAUGAACACACUAUAGGGAUUUCUAUAAAAGGCUGUAAUCCUGCAAAGGUUUAUUUAUCUAACGUUUUCAUGUCUGUCAAGUUAAGCAUGUGCAUAUUACAUCUCUGCAAAAUUAGCGUCUAAAUCUGAAAAAUGUUUACACUGAAUUUUUUUUUUUUAGAAAAACAAAAUAGUUUUUGUCAAUAGCGGAUUGGCAAAAUAAUACAAGGGUUGGGUGUAGACUACUAGAAAGUGUCCUUUAACCUGUCACCUUUCAUUUUCUCUCAUUUCUCUUCUCUGAAUGUCUUCACACAGUGGCGCUAUUAUUUACUGCUUUUACAACACUCAUAAUCAAACGAACAGUAAAGGGAGUUUGAGAUAAAGGUCACAACAAGAAGACUGCACAAUAUAUACAUUCAAUCUUUUGGGCUGGAUCCAAAGUCCACUGAAGUCAAUGGAAAGACUCUUCCCACUAAUGCAAGGAAACUCCUCAAAAGUAAAGGAGCAUAGGCAGACAGACUGCUUUGAAGCGGAAACCAUUGGAACUUCAUAACAAGCUGCCAGUGGGCAGCUACAGGAGCAAGAAGCCAGAUUCAGCCCCAUGGAGAUCACACAAAUUACCUCGGCUCUAAAUGACAGCGUAGGAAGCAGGAGUUCACAGAGGAAGCUAAGAAAUCAGGAAUUCAGAUUGUCUUUAAGUCAAAUACUGCAAGUCCUUAAACCACAGAACACUACAAACUGAGAUCACGAUAGCUAUAAGUGUAUUCAUCACCCAGCUCAAGUUAUAGUGACGUCUCAACCCCUCCAGCACAUUAAACCACUUCAUUACCAGAGGCUGAAAGAACAGUCAGAGAGGAACUUAGUGUCACUGAAUCUUGACAUCUGAAUCUCACUAUUACCUUGUACGAGACAAGGUGGGUGAGAUAAUAUCUUUCAUUGGACCAACUUUUAUUGGUGAGAGAAGCUUUUGAGCCACACAGAGCUCUGCUUCAGGUUUUAUCUUGUGUAGUCACAGUUUAUUGUGAAGAUGUUAUUUUGUGCCAUGUUGAUGUCAGGAAACAAGUAGACAAGGCAGAAAUUGGAGUAUCUUUUUACUGGACCUAUGAAUAGGUUAGAAAACGCAAGUUCUUGAGUGACAGGUCACUAAGAGCUAAUGCCAUUGGGCUGUCAGCGGCUCUCUAGAAAGUGGGCCUGAUUCUCAAUUGUCCUGAGCCUGGUUCAGUUAUUUACCUUUAUGCAGAGUGUAUUAUGGGUGUACAAUGCUACUGUUGUGAUCUGGUAAUAUUUCAUAACCGCUUUGUGCUGUCUGUGCACAGCUAUAAAUUACUAUCGCAGCUGAAGGACAGAGGGAAAAAUCUGGCUGUGCAGAAUGGCGGAUGUUCUGCACUUGUUAUCACGCUGCCGUUAACCAAGAUGUUCACAAGUUGCCUCGCCGUAGAGUAAUAAAACUAGAGGUUCAUGAUGCAAUGUAGGGGAAGAAUAUUUAUAAUCUUUUAAAGUAUGCUGUGUGGGUGUGUAAAUUCCAAAUGGUAGGUAAGGUAAUGUAGCCACUGACGUAACCUGACGAUUAGAAGAGACUCUCUUAGAUAAUGUCCCUCAUAGUGGUUUUGAUUUGUAUGUAACCAAGAAAUGUCCCCUCUUCCAGUCUAAUGAAUUUUUAGUGGAUCAUGAGAAAAGACUUUUCAUAAACAAAAUACCAUAGAUAAUACCAUAGAUAGUAGAUAACAAUAACGCGCUGAGGGAAAUCAUAGCAAGUCCCUGCUCUUCUAUGCGGGUAACGUAUAUACACUUGGUGUAUGCAGUAAUAUAUACACUUGGUGCUUUAAAUGUCAUACAGCUGAAAACAAUUAUAAGCCAAAUCUGGAAGAAAAAAAUGUAACCAGAACAAUCUAAAUGACAAUGGUUUAAGAACACUCUACUACACCGUUUUUCAAAGUUCGAGUUGCAACGGCAUGUCAGGCACCAGGUCGCUCUGGUCAGCACCACUGACUGGGACAUUAAAGGUCCUGUUGGUGUUGGUGCCCUGCUAAGGGAGGCUAGUCUACCUGUUUCGACACUGCGCUGCGCCCCGAAAGUGGCCAGCACUGGCUCUGGCUUCUAGGCACGGGGGCCAUGGGGCUCCAUGUGCUACCCCAACCCCAAGCACCAGCUCUGCACUCCCAUUAGCCUGCAGGUGAGAGUUGCACGAAACCGCUGGUGGGCCUCCACCUAGGAGCUGGACCUGCUGCUGGCUGCUUCUGGGGUGUAGCGCAGUCCCCAGUACCAGGACAGGCAGGAAGCCUGCCUCUGCACCCCGGCUGCGCCGCUGACCAGGAA